rnacentral:rRNA from 1 species
UAGUGGCGGACGGGUGAGUAACGCGUGGGAAUCUGCCCUCAGGAGGGGGAUAACGGUUGGAAACGACCGCUAAUACCCCAUAUGCCGAGAGGUGAAACGAAAUUCGCCUGAGGAUGGGCCCGCGUCUGAUUAGCUAGUUGGUGGGGUAAAGGCCUACCAAGGCAUCGAUCAGUAGCUGGUCUGAGAGGAUGAUCAGCCACACUGGGACUGAGACACGGCCCAGACUCCUACGGGAGGCAGCAGUGGGGAAUUUUCCGCAAUGGGCGCAAGCCUGACGGAGCAACGCCGCGUGAGGGAUGAAGGCCUCUGGGCUGUAAACCUCUUUUCUCAAGGAAGAAGAACUGACGGUACUUGAGGAAUAAGCCACGGCUAA